UAGGGAAUCUUCCACAAUGGGCGCAAGCCUGAUGGAGCAACACCGCGUGAGUGAAGAAGGGUUUCGGCUCGUAAAACACUGUUGUAAGAGAAGAAUGACAUUGAGAGUAACUGUUCAAUGUGUGACGGUAUCUUACCAGAAAGGAACGGCUAAAUACGUGCCUG
rnacentral:rRNA from 1 species